rnacentral:rRNA from 1 species
UUGAAGAGUUUGAUCAUGGCUCAGAUUGAACGCUGGCGGCAGGCCUAACACAUGCAAGUCGAACGGUAACAGGAAUCAGCUUGCUGAUUUGCUGACGAGUGGCGGACGGGUGAGUAAUGUCUGGGAAACUGCCUGAUGGAGGGGGAUAACUACUGGAAACGGUAGCUAAUACCGCAUAACGUCGCAAGACCAAAGAGGGGGACCUUCGGGCCUCUUGCCAUCGGAUGUGCCCAGAUGGGAUUAGCUAGUAGGUGGGGUAACGGCUCACCUAGGCGACGAUCCCUAGCUGGUCUGAGAGGAUGACCAGCCACACUGGAACUGAGACACGGUCCAGACUCCUACGGGAGGCAGCAGUGGGGAAUAUUGCACAAUGGGCGCAAGCCUGAUGCAGCCAUGCCGCGUGUAUGAAGAAGGCCUUCGGGUUGUAAAGUACUUUCAGCGGGGAGGAAGGGAGUAAAGUUAAUACCUUUGCUCAUUGACGUUACCCGCAGAAGAAGCACCGGCUAACUCCGUGCCAGCAGCCGCGGUAAUACGGAGGGUGCAAGCGUUAAUCGGAAUUACUGGGCGUAAAGCGCACGCAGGCGGUUUGUUAAGUCAGAUGUGAAAUCCCCGGGCUCAACCUGGGAACUGCAUCUGAUACUGGCAAGCUUGAGUCUCGUAGAGGGGGGUAGAAUUCCAGGUGUAGCGGUGAAAUGCGUAGAGAUCUGGAGGAAUACCGGUGGCGAAGGCGGCCCCCUGGACGAAGACUGACGCUCAGGUGCGAAAGCGUGGGGAGCAAACAGGAUUAGAUACCCUGGUAGUCCACGCCGUAAACGAUGUCGACUUGGAGGUUGUGCCCUUGAGGCGUGGCUUCCGGAGCUAACGCGUUAAGUCGACCGCCCGGGGUACGGCCGCAAGGUUAAAACUCAAAUGAAUUGACGGGGCCCGCACAAGCGGUGGAGCAUGUGGUUUAAUUCGAUGCAACGCGAAGAACGGUCUUGACAUCCACGGAAGUUUUCAGAGAUGAGAAUGUGCCUUCGGGAACCGUGAGACAGGUGCUGCAUGGCUGUCGUCAGCUCGUGUUGUGAAAUGUUGGGUUAAGUCCCGCAACGAGAAGUUUCAGGAGACUGCCAGGAGAAGGUGGGGAUGACAAGUCUCAUGGGAACCGUGCUAGACAAAGGAAGCGUCGCGAGAGGCUCAUAAAGUCGUCGUAGUCUCGCAACUGACUCCAUGUCGGAAUCGCUAGUAAUCGUGGUCACAAUACGUCCACGCACACCAUGGGAGUGGGUUGCAAAAGUAGGUAGCUUAACCUUCGGGAGGGCGCUUACCACUUUGUGAUUCAUGACUGGGGUGAAGUCGUAACAAGGUAACCGUAGGGGAACCUG